AUGGCGGCUGACUUUGCCUUUUGCUUGAUUUUUUUAGGAGGAAAAAAAAUCGGAAAUAUCUGACUGUGCUGACCAAAACGUUCAGGAGUGCAAGGAGGCCCUGUCAAGGGUCCGGGGACAGUUCUCAUUGUCAGCGGUUCUGGAUAGCAUUGCCCACAUCAAAUAAGGUUUUCUUUUUGGUCGGCAUGGACGCAACAUCAAACAUCAAUUUAGAGGAAACAUUUCUGCUCAGCAUCAUAAAAUGAAUCCAUCAGUGCAUCGCCUGCCAUUCUUUCCCUUCUCAUGCAUAAUGGAUGUCAAACCAACCCGGUGAUGGUGCGUAAGCUG